rnacentral:tRNA from 1 species
GCAGCAGUGGUGGAAUUGGUAGACACGCUAGCUUGAGGGGCUAGUGGGCUCACGCUCGUGGAAGUUCAAGUCUUCUCUGCUGCA